rnacentral:tRNA from 1 species
GGUUCUGGUUCAGUGGUAGAGUGUUUGCCUAGCACGCUGAGGCACUGGGUUCGAUCUCCAGCACCA